GUUCAUGUGGUUUACAACGUUAAAAGGGGGUCGGUGGAAGGCUGGUUAAACCGUUUGGUUUUCGACCACUAGGACCCGGGUUCGAUUCCCGCAUUGGACA